AUUUUUUUUCCACACUGACCUUCUCCUUGCUGGCUAUGUUCAGUUGGUAUAUUGUUAAUUGCACGUGGUCAUUCAUCUUUCUGCCCUCUGGCUCAACUUGAGUUCUUCUCUACAUGCAUUUCUCUUACGUUCCCCCAGAUCACUCUUAUGUCCCCCCAGAUUCUCCAUCAUGUCUUAAUGCCUAUCCUGAUCUUAAAAUACUCCAAAAGUGUAUCUAUCUGGGUGGUAAUGCAAUCUAGAUUCAAGAAAGAAGAAUGUAUAUAUUGUAUUUUUCCCUUUUACCUCAAAAGUUUUAGCCAUUUAUAUGAGCGAAAAAGUACAUUCGGUAUCAACAAAUGUCAUGUACCCAUCUAAGGCAUGAGACCAGAGAGGAAGCACUUGCCUCAGCAGAAGGGUGGAUGGCGCAGUGAUAGCAUCACUGUGCGUCUGUGCCUGUGUGUCCCAUGCUGUUGCAAAUUCUCAUCCUUCCUUGUGUUUGUGAGUGAACGUUUGGGCUAGAGAGCUGUAGAAAUACAAUGGAGUGAGAUAAUAGAAGGCUUAAAAACUUGUAGCUGGUGAUUUCAAGUGACUGGUAUGCCUUCAAGAUUAACUUAGACCAGGCAGCACUUCUCCAAAAAUCUCUCUGCAUCAUCAGAUGGAAUAUUUUACACUUGGAAGGCUUGAUCACCAUACCUGAAGAAAGUGGACUUUCUAAGACCUGAGAGAGGUCCCAGGACUUCACCACCACUUAGUGACAAGGAAAUACUCAGAAGUGCCCUUCAUGUCUCUUCUGUGACUCAUUGUGAAGCAAGAUCUGGGCCUGUGGGCCAGAUCCUUCUGCCAUUCCUCCAUGUAACAAAGAUUGUUCCAGCUUUGUGUUCUUACAUGUUCUGAAUAUUUUUAUCCUAUUCUUGUCAUUCCCAGGUAGCCAUUACUGGGAUGAACUUUUUCUUCCUUCUUUUAAGCUACGUGCUACAUUUAAUUGUAAGCUUGUGAUUAGUGUGAAGAUAAUAAAAAGCCAUUUAAAUUAGAACUGAUUGCUAUGGGACAGAAACAAACAGGAACGCUGGGCCUAAUCCAGUAAAGUUUUUAGGCCUUUAUUUUUCAGUGAGAUACUACUGGCAUUGUUGAAAGGCUAAGAAUCUACAAAAGAGUUGAAAGCCUACAAUAGGACAUGACAUCUCCAAUGCUUCGUUGAACACAAGCCUUUGCAUUUCCAUACACUGAAAGUCUUCUUUUUUUUUUUUUCUUUUUUUUUCUGGAAGUACAUCAGAGCAGAAAGUCCUGGCCAGGGCACAGGUGCCAAAAAAAAAAACAUUUUAAAAGAAACAAGUGGCUGUAGCAGAGCUGGACGCACCAUGGCAUCCAGGCUUGGUGGAUUUUCAAUAGUUUUCCAAAAAAUGUGAUGGUAUAAAGUAUAUCUUUAUGGCAAUAGGCAUAUCAUCCAAACAUGCUUGAGCGGUUUGGCUAAAAAGUAUAUAAGUUUUUGGCAGGGAGUGUCUACCUCAGAAAUUGGACAGAUCAAGGAGACUCGUCUUCCACUUUUUCACAAACCCAGUUUGUCCGGAUUCUGGGACAGGUACACCCUUGCUGCUUGCAAAACCCCUAUUUGGUUUUUCACGCCUUUAAGCACAGUAAUUUAGACACCUAUUUGCCAAUGACUCUUAAUCCCACCAGCAAUUUAAAACAGUUUGGUUUCCUUCUUGGUGCUAUUACAAAUUCUUGGAGAUGCAAACUUGCUAGAAGUUCAGUGUUAAAGGAAAAAGAGCCUGAUUUCACCAGUUUGUCUCCUUUAGCUGAUAGAACAUUUUUACUUAGAAACCUCAAGAAAAUCCUGGCAUGGCACCUCCUGAGAUGCAACAAAUACUGAAUGGUGUCUAUUUUGGGAACCUCCAAACUUUGCCAGCCCAUGCUCCAGUACCCAGGAAAUAGCAUGCUGCUGCAGUAGGCAUUGUUCUUUGUUCUCAUUUGCUGCCUCCAGUAGAACAUUUUAAUUUUCUACUGUUGCUACCAAAAUGACGUAAGGAGCUCUUCACCCAAGCCAACAUUUCCCACCACAUGAACUAUAUAGAAAGGAUUAUUGUGCCAAGUGCUGGCAAUGUCCCACGGUUUUUGCUGUGUCAGGAUAUCAGCCUUCUCCUCCUGGAAAAGGCCUAAAAAUAAAUGCAUUUCCUCAUUACCAGCUUAGCUCUAAGGGAGCUGGCAGCACAGAUGGAGAUGAUCUUUCUAGACCUCCCAAGUCAUUUAACAUUUCUGUGAUUUUUUCAGCAGGUGUUGUGAGGUGCAUUUCUCUCUGCUUUGAUUCUUGUGCUUAUAACCUGUUUCCGUAAACUAUGAUGGUAUGCAAAACAUCUUUAAUCUUCUCCUUUUCCACUUACCACUAGGAAAGAAAAGAAUGGGGAAAAAAAAGAGAGAAAGAUCCAAUUUAUUGUAGCAUUAUCAACUGAGAGCUAACUGUAAAUUGGACUGAUGCAAACAGAUUCUCAUCUAUCACUAAGCCAUCUCAUUCUGAGAGUAACACCCAUAAGAACUGAAGUGUACCUGUGAAACUUAUACUAAGUAACUCUUAAGCAAACAUACAGACAAGUAUGCAUUUGAUUGUCCCCUUUACCAUCUGCUUAAUAUUCUACAUUGUGCACUACUGGGGUCAGUAAGAACAUCCACUAUUUGCCUCCUGCCUGUAGGGUGCCUAUUUGCAAUUCUCAUUCCGAAUUCCGGUGCCACUUCAGUCAGGUACUGAAGAAGGAAAUGCUUGCAUUUGUAUCAUCAGACAAACUUCAAUAAUAUUUUAUUGUUGGAAGAAGCGAAAUGUAAAUGUUCAAAGUAUAAAAAUAAAUGUAUUUGGGGUUUUUAGUAGCAUUAGUAUCAAUAUAACAAAUAUGCACCCUGUACAGAGCUUCUGCAUUAAUGGGAUAUAACAUAAUUAUGAUCAGUUUCAAAUGGUCGAAUACAGAGAAUUGGUUCCUACAUGAUGGCACAAAUCACUUGGAAGUAUGCCUUACUGAUGCCAUUGCAUAUUGUUUUAGAAAGCAGUUUUUAUGGAAAACAUGCUUUUUCUACUUAUGUAAGUGUCUUCCCAGCAGAGACUUUUUUUGCUUCAAUGGCAAUAACAACUUCUGUCUAUUCAGGUCUCCAGAACUCUUAAGGGUAUUAUUUUCCCACAAGACUAGUGAGCUGAAUUGCCUACCGUGACAUAUCUGAAAAUGAUUCCAUUCCCAAAGAGUGUGUGUGAAUCCCUUCUCUUAAAAGUAAUAAUCCUUUAAGGCUUCUUGAAGUUGCUUCUUUUGGAUCACUAAUUGCUUAUGAAAAAACUCUUCUGGGGCUUUUUGCUCUACAAUUUUGAUAAAUUUUCAGUUCAUUUUCAUUUAAUUUUUAUCCUACAUCUUCGGAUAAACCAGUGACAGUUCUCCAGGACUGGACAGUGUAUCAGAGACCAUUGCAACCAGCCUUUUUAUUAAAACUUUAAAUACGAGCAGCAGGAACUCAGAAACUCAAAAAACUAUAUUUCUC
ensembl:lncRNA